rnacentral:rRNA from 1 species
UCAUUCCUACGGGGCGCAGCAGUGGGGAAUAUUGGGCAAUGGGCGCAAGCCUGACCCAGCAACGCCGCGUGAAGGAAGAAGGCUUUCGGGUUGUAAACUUCUUUUAAGAGGGAAGAGUAGAAGACGGUACCUCUUGAAUAAGCCACGGCUAACUACGUGCCAGCAGCCGCGGUAAUACGUAGGUGGCAAGCGUUGUCCGGAUUUACUGGGUGUAAAGGGCGUGUAGGCGGGGAAGCAAGUCAGAUGUGAAAACCACGGGCUCAACCUGUGGCC